UACGUAGGGUGCAAGCGUUGUCCGGAAUUACUGGGCGUAAAGAGCUCGUAGGUGGUUUGUCGCGUUGUUCGUGAAAACUCACAGCUCAACUGUGGGCGUGCGGGCGAUACGGGCAGACUUGAGUACUGCAGGGGAGACUGGAAUUCCUGGUGUAGCGGUGAAAUGCGUAGAUAUCAGGAGGAACACCGGUGGCGAAGGCGGCUCUCUGGACCACAACUGACGCUGAGGCGCGAAAGCUAGGGGAGCAAACAGG
rnacentral:rRNA from 1 species